rnacentral:rRNA from 1 species
AUGGCGCGCGCCGCCGUCUCCACCGCGCCGCUCUCCCGCCUCCACUCCCCCACGCCCUCCAUUCCGUGCCACUCUGUGUCCUCGCAGCUCCGCAUUCACCAGCAGCGCAAGCCCCUCACCGUCGCCUCGGCGCUGCCGGAGGUCGCGGACCUGCCGGGGCUCUCCCUGCCCGCCGCGGCGGCCGCGGCCGCGGCCCUGGCUGCCGCGGUGUCCCUCUCCGACCCGGAGCGCCGGCGCAAGGCGCAGGCGGAGGCGGUGGGCGGCGGGGACAAGGAGGCGGUGCGCGCCUACUUCAACUCCACGGGCUUCGAGCGGUGGCGCAGGAUCUACGACCCGGCCACGGACGACGUGAACCGCGUGCAGCUGGACAUCCGGGAGGGCCACGCGCAGACGGUGGCCGCCACGCUGGCCAUGCUGCGGGACGCCCCGGACGUGCCCCUGUCCGGCGCCACGGUGUGCGACGCCGGGUGCGGGACCGGGUCGCUCUCCAUCCCGCUGGCCUCCGCGGGGGCCUCCGUGCUCGCGUCCGACAUCUCCGCCGCCAUGGUCUCGGAGGCGCAGCGGCAGGCGCAGGCGGCCGCGUCGUCGUCGCCGGGGUUCCGCAUGCCGCGGUUCGAGGUGCGGGACCUGGAGAGCCUGGAGGGGCGGUACGACGUGGUGGUGUGCCUGGACGUGCUCAUCCACUACCCGCGGGAGGAGGCGCAGAAGAUGAUCCGCCACCUCGCCUCCCUCGCCGGGAAGCGGCUGGUCAUCAGCUUCGCGCCCAAGACGCUCUACUUCGACGUGCUGAAGCGCGUCGGCGAGCUGUUCCCCGGCCCGUCCAAGGCCACGCGCGCCUACCUCCACUCCGAGAAGGACAUCGAGGAGGCGCUCCGCGCCGCCGGCUGGCGCGUCAAGAACAAGGGCUUCAUCUCCACCCAGUUCUACUUCGCCAAGCUCUACGAGGCCGUCCCCGUCGCCGCCGGCUCGUCGUAG